AGAUGAUGACGAUGAUGGUCUGAUAGAUGAAGACCUAAAAGACUAUGACGAUGUUGUGUGCAGACCUGGAAAGUUUGGUGCAAGCUGCUUAAAGAACUGCACAAGUUGCUUCGCACUUUGCCACAAAGACACGGGGCAGUGUCUCAAAGGGGGUUGCCCCCCAGGAAACAAAUACACCUGUGAGGUCAAAUCUUCCACGUCUCCAGUGCCCAUUGAGAUCACUACUUCUGUGAUCAAUAUCACAUCUACUGAGUUCGUUACUGAGCAGGUCAAAACCACAAAGAAAGAUUGCCCUAUUGGCUCGUAUGGUACGGACUGCACCGGAACGUGUAACAAUUGCGUGCCUGACUGUGACAAGGUGACAGGCAAGUGUGAAGAAUGUGCAGACGGCUUCAUCCUCACCGACUAUCAUUGCAAUCACACAUGUCCGCCAUUCAAAUUUGGAAAGAAUUGCUCAGGAGACUGUAUUCUACGGUGCCUUGGUUUUGAAUGUGAUGACGUCACCAACGGGAGCUGCCCACC